rnacentral:rRNA from 1 species
UCGAACGAUGAAACCGCCCUCGGGCGGACAUGAAGUGGCGAACGGGUGAGUAACACGUGACCAACCUGCCCCCCUAUCCGGGACAACCUUGGGAAACCGAGGCUAAUACCGGAUACUCCCUCCCCUGCUCCUGCAGGGGUCGGGAAAGCCCAGGCGGAGGGGGAUGGGGUCGCGGCCCAUUAGGUAGUAGGCGGGGUAACGGCCCACCUAGCCCGCGAUGGGUAGCCGGGUUGAGAGACCGACCGGCCACAUUGGGACUGAGAUACGGCCCAGACUCCUACGGGAGGCAGCAUG